rnacentral:rRNA from 1 species
UACGUAGGGUGCGAGCGUUGUCCGGAUUCAUUGGGCGUAAAGGGUGCGUAGGCGGCGCGGUAAGUCGGGUGUGAAAUCUCGGGGCUUAACUCCGAAACUGCAUUCGAUACUGCCGUGCUUGAGGACUGGAGAGGAGACUGGAAUUUACGGUGUAGCGGUGAAAUGCGUAGAUAUCGUAAGGAAGACCAGUGGCGAAGGCGGGUCUCUGGACAGUCCCUGACGCUGAGACACGAAGGCCAGGGGAGCAAACGGG